rnacentral:rRNA from 1 species
AGUGAACGCUGGCGGUAGGCCUAACACAUGCAAGUCGAACGGCAGCACAGUAAGAGCUUGCUCUUACGGGUGGCGAGUGGCGGACGGGUGAGGAAUACAUCGGCAUCUACUUUUUCGGGGGGGAUAACGGAGGGAAACUUACGCUAAUACCGCAUACAACCUACGGGUGAAAGAAGGGGAUUUUCGGAGUUUGCGCGACUGAAUUAGCCGAUGUCGGAUUAGCUAGUUGGCGGGGUAAAGGCCCACCAAGGCGACGAUCCGUAGCUGGUCUGAGAGGAUGAUCCGCCACACUGGAACUGAGACACGGUCCAGACUCCUACGGGAGGCAGCAGUGGGGAAUAUUGGACAAUGGGCGCAAGCCUGAUCCAGCCAUACCGCGUGGGUGAAGAAGGCCUUCGGGUUGUAAAGCCCUUUUGUUGGGAAAGAAAAGCAGCAGGUUAAUACCCCGCUGUUCUGACGGUACCCAAAGAAUAAGCACCGGCUAACUUCGUG